GAUGAACGCUGGCGGCAUGCCUAAUACAUGCAAGUCGAACGAGAGGAAGGAAAGCUUGCUUUUCUGAAUCUAGUGGCGAACGGGUGAGUAACACGUAGGUAACCUGCCCAUGUGCCCGGGAUAACUUCUGGAAACGGAUGCUAAAACCGGAUAGGUAGCAGACAAGCAUUUGACUGCUAUUAAAGUGGCUAAGGCCAUGAACAUGGAUGGACCUGCGGUGCAUUAGCUAGUUGGUGAGGUAACGGCCCACCAAGGCGACGAUGCAUAGCCGGCCUGAGAGGGCGGACGGCCACAUUGGGACUGAGACACGGCCCAAACUCCUACGGGAGGCAGCAGUAGGGAAUUUUCGUCAAUGGGGGGAACCUUGAACGAGCAAUGCCGCGUGAGUGAAGAAGGUCUUCGGAUCGUAAAGCUCUGUUGUAAGAGAAAAACGACAUUCAUAGGGAAUGAUGAGUGAGUGAUGGUAUCUUACCAG
rnacentral:rRNA from 1 species